AUUAACUAGAGACUGUUUGGGCUUGUUUUAAAAGUAAUAUACUAGAAUAUCUGUGCUCAGCAAGUGUUGUUCAGAGGUCCAGCUCCAGUGAAUUUGCUCUUUAAAGAGGGAUACAGCACUGAUUUCAGUAGAAAGGGGAAUGGCCCAAAUGGACUAAAACAUUGGAAAAAGUGGAUUACAGAAUCAGUUCUUGAUUUCAUUUACCACAGAAUGCCUGCAGCACAUGUGGACACUAGUGGAAUUGACCCGGCAAAGCAGAACCCAGUUUUUUCUUUAACUCUAACAUGGGUGCUGCAUCUGCACAGAGAAUGGGAAUUGUGUACCAUGUAACCAGACAGCUAUACACCUUCAGCUGCAGACCACUGAGUGGAGUCUAUGGACCACCAGCUUGGAGAACCUCUGCUUUAAACCUCUAAAUGAUUCAACAUUUGUUCCCUCCGAUGACACCACGAAUCUGGGAAUGAAGAACUUCUUAGAGCUAAUUGAAAAUGGCAUUGCGGAGCUGAGACUUAACUGGAGGAAAUAUAUCUCCUGAAGAAGAAAAAUAUAAUGCACUGUAAGGAUUUGACUUCUGGUGAAAAAUUCAAGCCUAGAGAAAACUUGUCUGCUUUGUUAGGAAGAAUGGGUUGGACAAUUUUCUUCAAUUCCAAAGGAUUUCUGAAUGCCAUGCUGAGCUUAAUCUCUGCAGCAUGCUCUGUGCUUCUCAUCUCUUCCUGAUGCACUACAUGGUUAUCCUGAAGGGGAGGAUAAAGAAACUGGCCACCAAGAUGGUAAUCACUAGUGGAAAUGAAGAAGACAAAGGCGGUCAAGAAAAGGAAAGCAAAGAAGAAACCAUCUUGGCAAUGCUUGGAAUUAUUGGGACAAUUCUGAACCUCAUUGUGAUCAUUUUUGUGUAUAUUUACACAACGCUGUAAACUGGAAGGCAUGCAAAUAGACCAGAUAAAACGGCCAUUGAGUGACAACAAGCAUUGCUGACUAUUGACAAGUUGUUUAAUCAGAAUUGACUCUGUAUUAUAUUAACACAUCAUAUAAGCACUGCCUGCAGGCAGUGAAGGCUGAAGCACAAUUAAUUUAACAAGACUUUUUCACACAGUAACAAGCUUAACUCUUCUGUCUUGCCCUCUUCCUUUCGGUUUGGUUUUCAGUUUGGGGGAAAAUGACUGCAAUUAUGCAAGGUGUAGCUCUGAAGAAAUACAUGAGGGAUAUGUUCUUUUAAUACAAUUGAUGAGAGGAACUGUACACUAUAUACAAUUAGAAAUGUAUGCUGUAUACCCACAAAGAUUGAACUAAAAGAUAGCUCCAUAGCACAGAUCACGUGUCUGUUAUGUCAAAUGACUUUUUUCUCUUGGUUUUUGCUUUUACUGUCAUUGGAUCUGACAAGCUUUUUAUUUAGAAUGAACAUAUGGUGCAAUCAUGAAAAAAACAAUUCCAUUGAGCAAGAUCUGCCUAAACAUGAUAAAAUGUUGGGAGAAAUAUAUUAUAUGAUUGUUUUUCCUUUCUCAUUUGCCUAGCAUCUGUGUCUGUU
rnacentral:lncRNA from 14 species